UACGGAGGGUGCAAGCGUUGUCCGGAUUUAUUGGGUUUAAAGGGGGCGUAGGCGGCUUUUUAAGUCAGUGGUGAAAGACAACAGCUCAACUGUUGCAGUGCCAUUGAUACUGAAGAGCUUGAGUACAGAUGAGGUAGGCGGAAUUUAUGGUGUAGCGGUGAAAUGCAUAGAUACCAUAAAGAACACCUAUUGCGAAGGCAGCUUACUAAGCUGUAACUGACGCUGAGGCACGAAAGUGUGGGGAUCAAACAGG
rnacentral:rRNA from 1 species